rnacentral:lncRNA from 1 species
UAAAUCUCAAUGUUUUGAUACUUGUUUCUUCCUUCAUCUCUACAAAUCUCAAUCCUGGUCUCGGUUACCCUAUAAUUGGUGUUAUUCAUUUGGUACAGAUUGCACAAGCUUGCAAGCCUCUGAUACAGCGAGCUGGAUUCUGGGGAUCGAUUAUGACACUUGCUCGGGGUUAUGAGAUAGUAAUGGGAUUGCUUUUGUUCACGCCAGUAGCCUUCCUGGCUUGGUUCCCGUUUGUAUCAGAAUUCCAGACACGAAUGCUCUUCAACCAAGCAUUCAGCAGAGGUUUGCAGAUAUCGCGUAUUCUUGGGGGACAGAGGAAAGACCGGUCCUCCAAGAGUAAGGAGUGAAUGCUUCUCGAGCAAGUAACCUUCGUUUUCGGAUUUGUACAUGGAUUCAAUCUUUCUUUUUUUUUCUUUUUAACACUCAUCAUCCUCUCCAUGGCAUGUAGGGAAAAUGUUUAUAGCAAU